GACGUAGGGGACGAGCGUUGUCCGGAUUCAUUGGGCGUAAAGCGCGCGUAGGCGGCCACGCAAGUCGGGUGUGAAAUCCCGGAGCUCAACUCCGGAACUGCACUCGAAACUGCGCGGCUUGAGGUAGGUAGGGGAGAUCGGAAUUCCUGGUGUAGCGGUGGAAUGCGCAGAUAUCAGGAGGAACACCGGUGGCGAAGGCGGAUCUCUGGGCCUUGCCUGACGCUGAGGCGCGAAAGCGUGGGUAGCAAACAGG
rnacentral:rRNA from 1 species